GCCUUCGUGGUAUAGUGGUCAGCACACUCGGCUCGUAUUCGAAAGGUCCGUGGUUCGAGUCCCGCCAAGGGCA
rnacentral:tRNA from 1 species